rnacentral:piRNA from 2 species
GAGGGUCCAGGGUUCAAGUCCCUGUUCG